GACCACCUAGCUCCCCGGACGCGAAGUCUUCCUCAAUGCCACUUUUGGAUCUGCAGGCCUGGCCAGAGCAAGUGGGUGAGCACCCUAAAGUAGUCCUGUGAGUAGCACCAAGGUAAAGACCUGGGCCAGUUCCCUUCUUAGUCUCCCAAGACUUGAACACGUGCUUGGUGCGGUGGAGUGGUACUGUGGCCGUGCCCAGAAAAAAAGGUAAAACCCAUCCAUGCUUUGAAACAAAACUGCAGUCUACCGAAGGAAUCAUUGGCUAACUCUGCAUCUAAAGAAAACUCCGACAUCUUCCAAAGGCCAUGGUGAAAGAAAAGAAAAAAGCAGACAAAAAGGGAGAUAAGUCAGCCCGCUCUCCCUCCUCGAUCUCUGAUAACCCAGAAGCGGCUAAACAAGAAAUCAGUGCCAGUAAGCAGGAAGUGGCCCCCAGUGCUGUCAUCCCGGUAUUGGAAACGCCACUCAAGCAAACCCCUAAAAGAGACUCGGAACAUACAUACCAGAGUGAAGAUGAAACUCAGUAUGAAGAACCCAUCCUGACCAAACUCAUAGUGGAAAGGUAACUUUCUGGGGCCUGACUGGGCCAGACCCUAUAAACCGAAUGUUCCAUGAAA
rnacentral:lncRNA from 1 species